GACGAACGCUGGCGGCGUGCUUAACACAUGCAAGUCGAACGAUGAUACCCAGCUUGCUGGGUGGAUUAGUGGCGAACGGGUGAGUAACACGUGAGUAACCUGCCCCUGACUCUGGGAUAAGCGUUGGUAACGACGUCUAAUACUGGAUAUGACUACUGGUCGCAUGGCCUGGUGGUGGAAAGAUUUUUUGGUUGGGGAUGGACUCGCGGCCUAUCAGCUUGUUGGUGAGGUAAUGGCUCACCAAGGCGACGACGGGUAGCCGGCCUGAGAGGGUGACCGGCCACACUGGGACUGAGACACGGCCCAGACUCCUACGGAAGGCAGCAGUGGGGAAUAUUGCACAAUGGGCGAAAGCCUGAUGCAGCAACGCCGCGUGAGGGAUGACGGCCUUCGGGUUGUAAACCUCUUUUAGUAGGGAAGAAGCGAAAGUGACGGUACCUGCAGAAAAAGCACCGGCUAACUACGUGCCAGCCGCCGCCGUAACAC
rnacentral:rRNA from 1 species